rnacentral:rRNA from 1 species
GACGAACGCUGGCGGCGUGCUUAACACAUGCAAGUCGAACGGAAAGGCCCUGCUUUUGUGGGGUGCUCGAGUGGCGAACGGGUGAGUAACACGUGAGUAACCUGCCCUUGACUUUGGGAUGACUUCAGGAAACUGGGGCUACUACCGGAUAGGAUCUCCUGCUCCAUGGUGGGGGUUGGAAAGUUUCGGCGGUUGGGGAUGGACGCGCGGCUUAUCAGCUUGUUGGUGGGGUAGUGGCUUACCAAGGCUUUGACCGGUAGCCGGCCUGAGAGGGUGACCGGCCACAUUGGGCCUGAGAUACGGCCCAGACUCCUACGGGAGGCAGCAGUGGGGAAUAUUGCACAAUGGGCGGAAGCCGGAUGCAGCAACGCCGCGUGCGGGAUGACGGCCUUCGGGUUGUAAACCGCUUUCGCCUGUGACGAAGCGUGAGUGACGGUAAUGGGUAAAGAAGCACCGGCUAACUACGUG